GUCCCUGUAGCGCAAUAGAUAGUGUGCGUUGGACUUCUAAUCCAAAGGUCGUGGUUCCGAAUAUCACCCGGGAUG